UACGUAGGGAGCAAGCGUUGUCCGGAAUUAUUGGGCGUAAAGCGCGCGCAGGCGGUCCUUUAAGUCUGAUGUGAAAGCCCACGGCUCAACCGUGGAGGGUCAUUGGAAACUGGAGGACUUGAGUACAGAAGAGGAAAGCGGAAUUCCACGUGUAGCGGUGAAAUGCGUAGAGAUGUGGAGGAACACCAGUGGCGAAGGCGGCUUUCUGGUCUGUAAACUGACGCUGAGGCGCGAAAGCGUGGGGAGCAAACAGG
rnacentral:rRNA from 1 species